GUGUUCACCUUGGUAGCAUGUAUACUAAAAUUGAUAUGAGAUUAGUAUGACACCUGCUCAAUGUUGACACAAAAAUUCAUGAAGCAUUUUGUACUUUU
ensembl:snRNA U6 U6 spliceosomal RNA